CUUCAAUGCUUGAUCAAUUCAGAUUUACAGCAUGAGAAAACAAGACACAGACUUGGCAAAACAUAAACCCAGCAAAGAAUCAGAUUUUGACACAAGAAUUUGAUGUUUUCUGGAACAAAUUUCUUCAACCACUGCAGAGAAUUUUUCCCCCAGUCAAUCUACCAUUUAACAGAAUAUUACAGAGUAUUUAUUUGCACAAAACACUAGCACUCAUCACUAAAAAACGAGACACUACCAGAAAACUUUCAGAAAGUUACAAAGAGGUGUUGCAGAGACUUUUUCUCUCACUAUCUUUCUUUCUCUAACUACAGAAAAUCAUCCCUCUUGCUCACAGAAUGUGAUUCCCCACACACUCACGUUUCACUCUUGCUUGCUCUCUCAAGUUAUCAGCUUUGAGUCCUAUUUAUAGACAAAGGACUGUAGAGAUAUACAAGAAAAUGUAUGUAAGGUUCAGUUAAAACUAACAACAGAAAAUCUGUUAGAAUCUAAGAGGCUCCAACUGAUUUUCUAACUCAUUAAACUGAUUUCUAACUAAAGAGUUUAACCAACCGAAUCAAGAGUCAAACAAUUUCUUUACACAAAGAAAAUAAAAGCUUAGAAUCGCUGGCUACUCUCUCUCAACCUUUUUCUUUGAUAAUGCUCAGAGGGAGUUCUACUGUACCAAUUACUCUGCUUCACAUUUUCCGAUAAUAAUAUCUGAAGAAGCUAAAAUAGUUCAAUCACAAGUAUAACUUUCAGUUCCACGUAAGUUUUAUGGCGAACGUUUUGAUGCCGGCAAUGUAUAAGCUGUGGUUUCUUGUUUUCCUAUUUUCAGUUGUUCAGCUAAGCUACUUGGUGGCUUUAGUUGUUGCUCGAGGAUCUUGGAACAUCACCAGUAAAUGGCAAACACUUAAGGGUAUGAGAUCUCUGUCUCUCUCCAUACAUUGGCGUAUCUGUGUAUCAAUUGCAAAUUUGUGUGAUUCUGCAUCUUUUUGAGUGAUUUUUCUCUGAAAGAAAAAAGGAAAUAGUGAAUUAAGAUUCUUAGAGUUUUGUUUUGUUUUUGCUGUAAAAAAUGCCAGGCUGGAGUAAGUGGAGAGUUUUAACAAUUUGGGUGAUUUAUGUUGAUUUUCAAUGAUUUCUCUCAAAGUUUACAAGCAUAAGAAGUAUGGCUUAAAAUUCUAUUUAUUUUGCCAUCUUGUUAUGAAUCAAAUGCGUUCUCAUAUGCUCCUCAACUGCUCCAUGAAAUGUCUACACAAGAUGUUGUACCAUUGACAACUUUGAUACGCAACUUCGCCAAACAAAACCAGCAUAAAGAAGCAAUAACUUUGUUCUCAACAAUGCUUCAUUUGAAUAUCCGACCGAAUGAGUACACUUUUGGUACUGUAACUCGUUCCAGUAUUCUUUUAAAAGAUCUCUACUUAGGCCAGCAGGUUCACUCUUUCGCGAAAAAAAUUGGUCUUAAUUUCAAUAUCUUUGUGGGUAGUGCAAUGUUAGAUCUCUACGUAUAGUUAAACAAUAUUAGGGAUGCCGAAAGGGCGUUUGAGGAUUCGUAUGAACCAGAUGUGGUUUUGACACAACUUUGAUUGUGGUUAUAUUAAAGAAGGGCGAUUAAAUGAAGCUAUUCGGAUCUUUUGGUCAAUGCCAGAGAGAAAUGUUGUUUCUUGGAAUAAUAUGAUCAGUGGUUGUAGCCAAAUAAGGAGUGGGAAAUGUUAUUUUAAUAACAUGCCUAGAAGAGUGCAAUCGCUGCCAGGUAGUAGUGGUAGUGCUGGUAGGAGACUUUUAAAAAGAUUGAAAAAUUGUGUAAUCACUGGUACAGUAGAUAUGGGGAUAAUUGUAAAUACUUGCACCAAUGGUCCACUAGGGAUUGCUUUCCACUUUUGACUCCACUUGAAGGAUAUUGUUCUUGAUUUAAUUUUGUUAGGUUCUCCGUAAGUUAGGUUAUUGGGUCAUUCACUUUGCUGAAGAUUCAAACUGUUAUGUUCUAUGUUAUUAGAUCCUUACGAUUCUAGGCUUGAUUCAUCAUGUUAUAUUUUGAGAAAUCAAUUCCAGAGCCCAGUGCUGUGCUCUGCUAAAUGGGGCCAUGGUUUUAUCUUGAUUUUUUUUAUGGAUAUUAAGGUUGGCAAGUUAAAGGUCUUUGAAUGAAAUUGUUAACUAUUAUUGGUUUGUUUUCCUUUUUGAAUAAGUGGUUCUUUGGAUAAAUUGUGCAAGGUAUGUUUCAUGGUAUUCUUAUAUAUUUGCUUUUCUAAAACUCAUGUUCUUAGAUGUGUGGUCUGCAAUUUUUAUUUAUUUAUUUAUUUUUGGGUGGUGUAAUCACGAAGAUUAGAACUUAAUAUUUUUGUAGAUAUGGUGGAGAUCAUUUUGAGCAUAUAACUUGAGGUUUGAACUUAUUAUUGUGCUAUUACUGUUAUUUUGGAUAGGCUUGAAUGCAGUGUCUUUUAGAAUAAUGGUUGAAGCACCUUUCACAUUUAAUGAGAAUUUUACUUGUAAAAGAAAGAUGAAAUAUACAUAUGUAUUAAAAUGUGAAGAUUUGAAUGUGAAGAAUGGUGAACCCCUGGUUUAUGACGUCCAUGACUAGCCCAAAUAUUUUACAUUUAUCUCAAUGAAAUCCUUUUUUGUCCAACUUUGUUAUAAUCUCUAUCCUGAUCAUGUUUUUGCAUAUAGUGAAAACAAAAAAGCUGUAUUACUAUGCAAUUUGUGGUACAUCUUUUAUAUUAUGAAGGCACACUUGAUGAUUUUAUAUUUUCCAUUCCAUUAAAUUUGGAAUGCAUCCUGUUAGGAUCCGGAGUAACCGCUAAGAUUCCAAGUUCUAAUAACAAUUAAGUUUGAUGUCUUCAAUACAUAAUUAUAUUCCCAUGGUUAUGGUUGUACAGGUAUCAACAUGUUAAAUAGUGUUUCAUCAACUUAAUUAUGCAUCUGCGCAUCUAUUGUAAGUACCUAGAUAUGCAACUUUUAUAUUUUUACAAUAAUAGAUCUAUUUCAGGCUCGUCUCCCAAAUACAAGAUAGCUAUUGCUAUGAUGACAACCCACUCCUUGCUACUUGUAGCAUUUGAAUCAAAAAGUAGCCUACUCAAGUGAUAGCUAGGGCCUCGAGGUACCCAAGGUGAUUAUUGACCAGUCUUUUGAUGGAUCUUGGGUAGGUUGUUUUACAUUGCACAUUUACAAUUGUUCCAUGCUCUUCUACUUGCAGUUAAAGGUUGGCGGAGGUGAAGAAUAUUGCUUUCCUCAUAAUGGUCAACGGAACUUCAAUAACAAGGUACUGUCUUCUGUAUUCUACAACGAAAAUUAAAUUUGUUUUAGCAGGGGAGGGCAUAAAAAGGAUAGGACAUAGAUAUCGGUAUCUGUAGUCCAUAUUAUGUUUUGCUUUACUUACUGUUUGGACAAUAGUUAUAUUUUCUAACUUAUCAAUUCACCAUUCUAAAUUCUCUCUUGAAGAAACUCUAUAGAGCCACAUGGAUAGAUAGCUGGCAUUUGUCAAACUUCUCUUCAAGUUGUGAUAUAAGCUAUAUUUUACAAGUUGAAUGGAGUAAAAGUUUUUUUAUUUUUUUUUUUAUUUUUUUGUUCCCUAGCAAGUUGUCUGUCGCUUUUUGUUUUUGGUGUAUGCCUAAAGUUGUAUUAAAUCUAUUCAUCGGUAAAUAAAGUCAGUAGAAUUUGUGAAGUAGGCAACAAAUCCAACUAAAAAAAAUGCUAAUCCAGUAUGAUGCAAAUUAUAUAUAUAUAUAUAUAUAUAUAUAUACAUAUUUUUUUUUUUUUUAAAAUCGAUCGAAGGUCAGAAAUAAUGCUAAUAUGAAAUCAUGUUAUGAGGGUGACGCAACGGUCUCACUUCUAGGGGAAGAAAAAAUUUUGAAACGCCAUUCCCAUUACAAUAAUAGCUUCUAAAAAUCAAAUUUUAAAAGCAAAGUUCCUUUUUGUCGCAAGUUAUCUUAAAUGUUUUUAAAAGCUUCAUAUUCAGUAUUUAUCCAUUCUCGCAUUCAACUUCACUUUAUCCGCACAAUCAUUGCAACAACUUCUCAUUUCUUCUUCUCCAUGCCUUCUCUAUCCAAUUUUCGCCCUCAAAAAUAUAUGUGCAAUAAAUGUUAGUGAUUUUUGGGUUAUGACUUUAAACCGUUUUAUAACCUAAAAAUUAAACCCCAUGCAAACAUAUCUUAUGGCAUUCAAAUUAGCUGAUCGUAUUUAUUCUUCAGAGCAUCUGUUUGAAGUUUACAUUUCACAACACAUUGUACAUAAGCUAAUGAUAGAACAACACAACCGUCAAUAGGUAGAUUAAACGAAGUUCAGAUCUCAAAAAUUAUAGCUUGAAAGACUAGUUAUAUAUUACUCAAUGAUCUCAAAGGCUGCUGAAAAAACAAGUAUGAAAUAAUAUUUUCCCCUCACAGUUGAGCUGACUUUCUUAGAAUAUGACUCACACGUACGAUGUAUGCCAACUUUUCUCUUUUCUUCUCUUUUCAAUCGUCACAAAAUUAGCUACACUUGGCUUCAGUAUCACCAAUACAUUUUUUGAACGAGAAUUGGCCCAAAUUGUCCAUGACUUAGGGGGUUUCUACGUAAAUGGUCCCUGACCUUUAGGAUGGAUAUGAAUUCAUGGGAUAAAUGCGUAAUUUUUCAAAAACAUUGAAAACCUUGAGCGUGAGAAAAGAUUUAUUAAAGACACAGUAUGUAUAUUAUUAUUAUUGUUAUUAUUAUUUUAUUUUAUUUUAUUUUUUUUUUUGGUUUUUGUGAAAUUGAAAGGUUUGUGGUUGAAGAAGAUGAAGGCAAAAAAUCACCUGCAAAGUUUCAAAAGACCUACCAUCUAGACAAACUUCAUUUUUGUGUUCUAAUUUCCACUUUUUUAAGAUAUCACACUUUUUUAUUGUUUACAUUGUGUUGUGUCUUCUAACAUAAAUUUUUUUUCCAUUUGCAGGCUUUUUUUUUUUUUUUUUGAGUAUUGGACCCUCGUUCCUGCACAUUUUUGCAGGCUUUUGUAUUUGAGCGAUUUAGAGUUGACAAUUUGCAUCAUCUCACAAUGAAAAGUUUGGUAAUUUCUUCUUUUUAUGAAUCUCUCUUACUAAUUUAAUGCCCUGGAAAAUAUAUCACUUGCUAUAAUUGUUCUCUUUGGAUUGUGGUGGCAUACAACUAACUUGUAAGUGUUUCAUUUUCUUCAUUUCAACCUUUCUAUCUUAUGAUAGUCGUGGAAUUCUAUUGCUAUACCCUAACUACAAAAAGUCAUGUUUAUAUAAUGUAUAAUAUGAUGAAUGCUAGAAAUUCAUAAAAUCUACCAUCAAUGACAUUAGCCAAAAGAGAUCUCAAGGAUACAUGGUCUUAUAAAGUAAAUUUUACGUUAUAGGUUUUCACAAUUCUAUAUCGAAUCAAAUUUCCAUACAAGAAGCAUUUCCCUAUCACAUUGGUAAAAUAGUUUCUAAUUAAUACUAACUACACAUCCUUAAAAAAUCACCGCCGUCCGGGGUAUUGAAAAAGGGGUUAAACUCAUACUUUAAUAACCUGUUGCUCGCUUGUUUUUCCCAUUUUAAAACAAAUAUUAUAUUGCAUUGCUUGGUUAUUUUCUGCCAUAAUAACACCCUCAAUGGCAUCAUCAUCUUUGGUUAGCUCAAUUUCUUCUUCACAAUUCAGUGUUCGUCCUUCAAUUUAGGUUCAAGAGGCAAUUUAUCAUGCUGGUUCUGUUGUGGAAUUUAAAUUGGGUUUACCAACUUGAGAAGAAUGCCUAGAGGUUGCAAUUGAAAAAAUUUGAUCGCUAGAACAUCAUGUACAAAUAUUGCAGUUAUAGUUAAUAAUCAUUAUUCAAAGGCAGCUACUUUAGAAGGUAAUUAUGAACAAUAUAUUUUGUUUUGUUUUUUUUCUUUUUUUGGUGUGUACUUUAUAGUUUUCCUAUGAAUAUAUUGGGAUCUGUAAUUUCUCAACAUGUUUUACGUGCUACAACUUUAGGAUUCAAAGUUGAUAAGAUAGUACACAAAUGGAAUGAGAUGAAUGAUGCAUCAGGUAGCAAACUCGUGUGCGUCUUUUUUGCCUAAAACCAUUGAUCAGUAACUGAUAGAAGGCUACCAUUGGAGCUGAUUUCUUGAUAAAGAAGGUGCAGUUCGAAGAUCGACUCUUUAAUUUACAAGUUCGAGUAAAAACUCAUUUGUUUUGGUCUAGAAAUAUCAUUUGUAAAUAACAUUUUAUGAUUGUUGAUUAUCUGCUAACUGUUGCGUAUUGGAUUCGUAUAGGAGUUUCAGUUUUAACCUUUUAAAAAAUAUUAUUUAGUUUCUAUUCGUAAUUGAAGCCACUUCACGGUAAUUCAAAAGUUUCAUUGUAAUGUUAUUAAUUGAGUAACAAUUUAAUGAUGUAGCUAUUUUUUUUCUUUUUAUAAAAUGGAAG
rnacentral:lncRNA from 1 species